rnacentral:rRNA from 1 species
AUGAACGCUGGCGGCGUGCCUAAUCCAUGCAAGUCGAGCGAACGGACGAGAAGCUUGCUUCUCUGAUGUUAGCGGCGGACGGGUGAGUAACACGUGGAUAACCUACCUAUAAGACUGGGAUAACUUCGGGAAACCGGAGCUAAUACCGGAUAAUAUUUUGAACCGCAUGGUUCAAAAGUGAAAGACGGUCUUGCUGUCACUUAUAGAUGGAUCCGCGCUGCAUUAGCUAGUUGGUAAGGUAACGGCUUACCAAGGAAACGAUGCAUAGCCGACCUGAGAGGGUGAUCGGCCACACUGGAACUGAGACACGGUCCAGACUCCUACGGGAGGCAGCAGUAGGGAAUCUUCCGCAAUGGGCGAAAGCCUGACGGAGCAACGCCGCGUGAGUGAUGAAGGUCUUCGGAUCGUAAAACUCUGUUAUUAGGGAAGAACAUAUGUGUAAGUAACUGUGCACAUCUUGACGGUACCUAAUCAGAAAGCCACGGCUAACUACG